rnacentral:snoRNA from 1 species
AUCAAAAUGAGGAGGCUGUUUGUUCUGAAGUAUCUAAUGUGGAUACAUCCAUUCAUGGGUCUUCAAAGUUCUCUGAUUGCU